AGUGAACGCUGGCGGUAGGCCUAACACAUGCAAGUCGAACGGCAGCACAGUAAGAGCUUGCUCUUACGGGUGGCGAGUGGCGGACGGGUGCGGAAUACAUCGGAGUCUACUUUUUCGAGGGGGAUAACGUAGGGAAACUUACGCUAAUACUGCAUACGACCUACGGGUGAAAGCAGGGGACCUUCGGACCUUGCGCGAUUGAAUGAGCCGAUGUCGGAUUAGCUAGUUGGCGGGGUAAAGGCCCACCAAGGCGACGAUCCGUAGCUGGUCUGAGAGGAUGAUCAGCCACACUGGAACUGAGACACGGUCCAGACUCCUACGGGAGGCAGCAGUGGGGAAUAUUGGACAAAGGGCGCAAGCCUGAUCCAGCCAUACCGCGUGGGUGAAGAAGGCCUUCGGAUUGUAAAGCCCUUUUGUUGGGGAAGAAAAGCAGCAGGUUAAUACCCCGCUGUUCUGACGUUACCCAAAGAAUAAGCACCGGCUAACUUCGUG
rnacentral:rRNA from 1 species